AGUGAACGCUGGCGGUAGGCCUAACACAUGCAAGUCGAACGGCAGCACAGUAAGAGCUUGCUCUUACGGGUGGCGAGUGGCGGACGGGUGAGGAAUACAUCGGAAUCUACUUUUUCGUGGGGGAUAACGUAGGGAAACUUACGCUAAUACCGCAUACGACCUACGGGUGAAAGCAGGGGAUCUUCGGACCUUGCGCGAUUGAAUGAGCCGAUGUCGGAUUAGCUAGUUGGCGGGGUAAAGGCCCACCAAGGCGACGAUCCGUAGCUGGUCUGAGAGGAUGAUCAGCCACACUGGAACUGAGACACGGUCCAGACUCCUACAGGAGGCAGCAGUGGGGAAUAUUGGACAAUGGGCGCAAGCCUGAUCCAGCCAUACCGCGUGGGUGAAGAAGGCCUUCGGGUUGUAAAGCCCUUUUGUUGGGAAAGAAAAGCAGUAGGUUAAUACCCCGCUGUUCUGACGGUACCCAAAGAAUAAGCACCGGCUAACUUCGUG
rnacentral:rRNA from 1 species